rnacentral:rRNA from 1 species
GAUGAACGCUGGCGGCGUGCCUAAUACAUGCAAGUCGAGCGAACGGACGAGAAGCUUGCUUCUCUGAUGUUAGCGGCGGACGGGUGAGUAACACGUGGAUAACCUACCUAUAAGACUGGGAUAACUUCGGGAAACCGUAGCUAAUACCGGAUAAUAUUUUGAACCGCAUGGUUCAAAAGUGAAAGACGGUCUUGCUGUCACUUAUAGAUGGAUCCGCGCUGCAUUAGCUAGUUGGUAAGGUAACGGCUUACCAAGGCAACGAUGCAUAGCCGACCUGAGAGGGUGAUCGGCCACACUGGAACUGAGACACGGUCCAGACUCCUACGGGAGGCAGCAGUAGGGAAUCUUCCGCAAUGGGCGAAAGCCUGACGGAGCAACGCCGCGUGAGUGAUGAAGGUCUUCGGAUCGUAAAACCCUGUUAUUAGGGAAGAACAUAUGUGUAAGUAACUGUGCACAUCUUGACGGUACCUAAUCAGAAAGCCACGGCUAACUACGU